rnacentral:lncRNA from 1 species
CCCCUCACGUCAGGUGGUGUGUGGUCCAUGGCAGACUUCUCUCAGCAGACACAAAGGGUUGGGUAGGCCUGCAGUUUCAUGCAGGUCAGUCCUGGGUGCCUACCACUCACAGGAGGAUGAAUUCUCUCUUCUUGUUACCUGCCUGCAAUUUCCCAUCCCCAGGCAUAGAAGAUAACAUGUUAUGCCCCGACUGUGCUAAGAGGAAUAAGAAGAUGAUAAAAAGAUUAAUAACAAUAGAGAAGU